AAUGUCAAAGGGGAAGGUUGUGUGAUGUGAGGUCAUAUACACAGACCUCAUCAGACAGAAAGCCAACUAGCCAUGAAUGGAAGGAAAUAUACUCCACAGAAACUUUAUAGAAGGUAAAGUUUAUUUUGAGAGAGAGACAGACAGACAGACAGACAGACAGAAAAAUUGUAAGAUCCAUUAUUUUAAACAAGAACUAUGUUAUCUGUAUAAAUUUUCAUAGAAGCAAGGGAUGUUAGGAACACCCGCAUGGCAAAAAAACAGAAAUCUGUCGACAUUAAGAAAAAGAGGCCCUGAAUGGGUGUUCCUUCUGCCUCUGUUCUAAACUUUGCCUCCCUAUUCCCUCCCAAGGUGACUUUGUUCUUUCAGGCUGGAACAAUAGAUAUAUAUUCAUAGAGACACCCAUCUACCACAUUUGUUUAUGUAGCCCUCUGUGCUUGGGUUUGUGGGGAAUGAAAGGGACCCUGGGUGAAUGGAUGCCAUUGACAUGAGCCUCAGACCCACAGGAAAUGGCAAACCCUUCCCCAGGUUAGGCUCCAGAAGUGGCCUAGCUUUCUGGUCCAUGUGAGAAUGUUAACAAGAUGAGCAGGAAAUGACCACCAUGACUUCCUCCAGACACUCACAGCUUGAAGAUGGCCUGCUAUGGAGUCCAUUCCUACUAAGACUGGCUAAACCUGUUUCCUUGAUUCUGCCAUGCACCUGAUACCCCGACUCCUGUCCAGCUGUGUGUGAUAACACCGCCUCCCUGUUCAACUCUAUAUAAUCAACAUGCUGAGCAUCUAGGAUGUGUCAGCUUCUCCACUUGAGAGCAUAGGCCACCCCAUUAUGUGUCCAUUUAUCUGCCUGUUGCUCAUUCCCUUACCAGUUGGGUCCAUCUCUGGACUAUGCAAAGAGGAGGCACAGGCUGGUUCUAUAAUCCACUAUCAUGGAUUGUGUCACAAUAAAUAUUGACUAUUGUAUAAUUACCAUCGAUUACUGGAACUAGUUGAGUGCUGUGAUACACACUGAUGUACAAAUAUCUCUGUGCUACAUAGAGAUAUACCCACAAAUAUAUAAACGUCGCAUGGGAGAUAUAUUUUUUGCUGCAUAUUUUUCCUUCAGAAAUGGGUUAUUUUAUAUUCCCACCCUUGGUGUUUAGGGUUGUUUGGGGGUUUUUGCUUGCUUGAUUGAUUUUGUCCUUAUAGCAUUUGUUAUUUCUUUUAAAAUUAUUAUUGAUCAUCUUCUUCAUCAUCAUCACAAUCACCAUCACCACCACCACCAUCAUCAUCACUACUAUCAUCAUCAUCAUCAUCAUCAUCAUCAUCAUCAUCCCUGUGUGACGUAUGUGUAUGAGACACACAUGGACCCCAAAGGGCGUGGGAGUAGCUGCCAUGCGAGGAAGGGUCUCUCUUGUUGCUGCUGCAGUGUGUGCUCCAGGCUAACCGACUUUGUUCUCAUUUUUCCGUCUCCACCUGCAAUAUCACCUCAGUGGUUCUGGGAUCACACACACCCGGGUAGGCCUGCAUUUAUUUUCUUAAUUACUUCGAUUCCGAAUGUGGCAGAGCGGGAUCUCAGUGCAGCUCUGGUUUGCGUAAAGAUGCUUCUUUUAAAACGUCAGAGUUUACUUUCAAAUGAAGAAAGGUUACUGCAGAGUUCAGUACAGCACUUUUAUCUUAAGUAAACGGGAAUCUUCACACGCCAGUGUAACAAUGCGACAUCGCAGGUAUGAAGUGAAAAUCAUCUUUCUGAGAUCUUCCCGAAACACUAGGAAAUCUCCCGAAACACUAGGAAAUCUGUAAUGAACCGCGCCUCUACGGAGGGGUUCUUUUAUUUGACCAGGAUCAGCUUUCAAUUGCAAAAUUAGGAUUUAAAAAUUGGGUCCGAAAGUCUUCAUCUCUCUGAAAAGUCUGUGGACACAUCACGAAACAAGUUCACACAUUAAUAUUGUUAUUAUGACGCAGACGUUUCAGCAGUCCUGCAAGGAUGUAUCCCGUUCCUCCAAAUAUUCAGAAGAUGGGGAUUUCAGCACCAUAUCCAUCCCUGGCUUAACAAACAUCAGAAACUGCAGUAUGAAAUAUUAUUUAAAUCCCAUCGCGGGGUUUCUUCCCACCUUUCAGCAUUUACAUUCCUGAACGAAAGGCACAUGCCUCCUUUAGAUUUUAAUUAAGCAGCACAACAGCUGGGCAACUAACCGCCUGACCUCCAUUCCCUUAGAAUCUACCUUCUGUCUCUCCCUCUCAAUCCUAAAGCCUAGGAAACCUAAACCCCGCCUCCUUCUCACAUCUCCACAGCUAUUGGCUGCUGGCAUUUUUAUUUACCAAUCAGAAUUAACUGAGUCCAACGUCUGACUGUGUGCACCACCAGCUGGAGGCAUCGUUUGUGAAAGAAUGCUUAGGAUAUGGGGAGAUGCAGGAGGAAACGCAUGUCAGCAUCUUAGCCUGUUUUCUAGAAAGCCAUAAGAAUCUUAUUAGCUAACCCUAAACCACCAACCAAAGAGUACACAUGGAGGGACCCAUGGCUCCAGCCGCAUGUGUGGCAGAGGAUACCGUUAUCGUGCAUCAAUGGGAAAGGAGGCCCUUGGUCCUGUGAAGGUUCAAUGCCCCAUUGUAGGAGAAAGAUUGCUCCCUGGUCAGGCCAGAACAAAGAUGGCAGAUUUGCAGCUCAUUGAGAAGAUUAAAUCACAUAACAUCAAAGAUUAUUUAAAGCUGGUACAGUUCAAGGCACUGAAAUGACAGAAGUCACUGGAAGAGUGGAGAGGGUACCAAUGCCUAAGUCAGCAACCUAAGGAAUCAUCUUAAUGUGCCAUGCCUAAGUCAACAACCUAAAGAACUGUCUUAAUGCCCAAAGUCUUCACCAUGACUCUUAUCUGGAUUAAUUCACCUCGUUAUUUUAUAUUCCAAGUUCUUGUCAUGGAGCAAAAGUCUAUUCAUGUAGAGUUCAAUAUCAUAUGUCAUAUCUGUUCUUUCAAA